rnacentral:rRNA from 1 species
GACGAACGCUGGCGGCGUGCUUAACACAUGCAAGUCGAGCGGUAAGGCCUUUCGGGGUACACGAGCGGCGAACGGGUGAGUAACACGUGGGUGAUCUGCCCUGCACUUCGGGAUAAGCCUGGGAAACUGGGUCUAAUACCGGAUAUGACCUCCUAUCGCAUGGUGGGUGGUGGAAAGAUUUAUCGGUGCAGGAUGGGCCCGCGGCCUAUCAGCUUGUUGGUGGGGUAAUGGCCUACCAAGGCGACGACGGGUAGCCGACCUGAGAGGGUGACCGGCCACACGGGGACUGAGACACGGCCCAGACUGCUACGGGAGGCAGCAGUGGGGAAUAUUGCACAAUGGGAGAAAGCCUGAUGCAGCGACGCCGCGUGAGGGAUGACGGCCUUCGGGUUGUAAACCUCUUUCAGCAGGGACGAAGCGCAAGUGACGGUACCUGCAGAAGAAGCACCGGCUAACUACGUG